rnacentral:rRNA from 1 species
AUGAAAGGAGGCAAGGCGACCUAUAUCCCCAUUGAGGCGUGGAGAGGCCUUGAAGACAUAGCGAUAGUAUGGCUAACUAAGCUUUUCAACCUCAAUUUUCCAUCAAACAAGAUGCCUGAAGAAUGGAGGCGCGGUAUAUUAGUACCAAUCUUCAAGAACAAGGGGAAUAUUCAAAGUUGUACUGGCUACCAUGGAAUUAAGCUGAUGAGCCAUACAAUGAAGCUAUGGGAGAGAGUCAUUGAGCAUCAUUUAAGAAGGAUGACAAGCAUGACCAAAAAUCAGUUUUGUCUCGGAGGUCGACAAUGGAAGCCAUUUUCUUGGUACGACAACUUAUGGAGAGAUACAGAGAGGAAAAGGACCUACAUAUGGUGUUCAUUGACUUGGAGAAGGAGGAAAAGGACCUAUGGUGUUCAUUGA